GCUGAAAGGAAGUCCCAUCAAGUGGAAAUCAAAGGGAGGAACCGGGCUCCCACCCAGCCUCCCUUAGAAGGGCUGUGGCUGAGGACGGUGGCUGCUGUCACUUGCAGUGGGCGGGAGACUGAAACCGGGAAGUCCCGUGGCUGUCAGUACUUUGCAGCAGGGUGCUGCUGGGGAGACAGAGGGGACCCCCCGUCCACGCGGACCCCCCAGGGCAGCCUCAGGUAAGUGCCGAGGUUUACACAGUCAUUCAACAAACGCUCGCUGGGUGCCGCGCGCCAGGUAGGAGCCC
rnacentral:lncRNA from 1 species